GACAUCAGUAUUUUUUUCUUGUUUUCUUU
rnacentral:piRNA from 1 species